AUCAUUGUUUGCUUUUAAAAAAGCCACGACUGUGUACGUAAGAAUAAUCGCAGCAGUAAUAAUAGGUUUAUCGUGUAGACAUUGUUCACCAAUUGUAACCUUGAACUAACUUCUCAACAAUUUAUCCUCAAAGGUACACUUAAAGUUACCUAUAAUACACCUGAGCAAAUUGCCCGAACAUUUCUAACUCAAGGUGUAAUGUGAAAAAGAAAGACACAUCACCUUUUCAUUCCCAUAGGGAUAGGCAGCGGUGCAAAAGAUCACCUAAUUUUCACCUUGUGUCUUCGGUCCUAUAAUGUGAUAGGGGGUGAGAUCACCGUCAUAUCGGCAUAAAUUCUAGACUCUAGAUUGAUACUUAACAAAAAUCCCAAUAUCACUGCUCGACCUGGGACUCGAACCCAGAACCUCGGUUUGAUACCGCGUAUGCGUGACAUAAUAUAUCUACGCUACCGAGACAAUCACCAAGGUGUAGUAUGACCUCCGGUAGAUUAGAAUACUAAAAAUGGACCCAACAUAACCCAACACAAAAACACCGCUAAAAAGUGUGAGUAAAACAAAAUACAUAAUUUCGUUCACAUUGACGACAUAAUUAUUGUAGUUUAAAAACAUACUGUUAACGAAUUUUUUAAAUAUUUUUAUGAGAAAAAUCUGGUAGUAUAUUCGUUAAAAUAAAAAAAUCUAAACCGGGUAGUAAAUAACUGAGUUCUAAGGUUAAAAAAAAUACAAAUAAAUACACGUCGAAUUGAUAACCACCUCAUUUUUUUAAGUUAAAAAUAGCAAAACAUUUGAACCUGCAGUAUCACAAUAGAACACAGCAGCACCAAUUUAUUUAUCUCCAGUCAUUCGUAAAACACAACACUCUUGACAAAAAUUAAUUAACUAGAAAUACUUGAACUCUUUCUAAAGAAAUAUCGCUAAGCAAAAAUCCCGUUUCCAAAAAGGCUUCUAAAAGGAAAAAGACCAUUUAAAUCAACAUGAUGUAAUGUGUCACUAUAAACGCAGCGCAGCUCAGAUGUGACUGAACUUAUCUAAGGAACGGACGUGUUGUGAUCGUUAAUAAUCCUUAAUACGGAGUAAAUAAAGAUGACCUCGACGAUACUAGUAAUUGCAAUGCUGCUCGCGCAAGCAAUAAGCGCCCCUCAAAACGGCGUGAGCACAAUAAAAUCACCAGUGAACAUGACCUUAGAAGAACUAAACUACCUCCUUCAAGUAAGGAGCGGUCAACCGCAAACUCAGCCUAAAGUGCUCUCCCCAUGCGCGCGGGCAAUCUUAGGGUGCUGCCGAGGCAAAAUAAUGAAUCCCAGUUGUUCAGAAUCACUGAACUGCGGUGCACUUUUCUUCGACGUAAAUCCUUGUGAAGAAAGGUUUGUACAUGAAGCCUUGAAAGCGGCUAGGAGUUUUUACGAACAAUUAAAUAAUGUUUCUACGUAGUGCAGUUUUUUAUAAAGAGUGUUCUGUUGGCUGAUACUUGAGAACAAUAAUGAUUCGCCGGUGCCAAGAGUUUUUGUUAUAUUAAUUAGUAGUAAGAUGAAGUAUGAAUGUUGUUAAACCUGUUUUGAUGUACAGAUAUUAAACUUUAGUUGGCGAGUUGUAUGUAAUCGAAAUAAAUGUUUAAGCCUAAAGUAGAUAUAAGGAGAAACAUCUACAAUGAUAAUUUAUUUUUAUAUAAUAAUUUGUGUGGAUUAUAAGCUAGAUUGUUACGCCAAGAAUAUUAAAGGCCUAUUUCAUAAAAUUCAAGUAAGUACCUAAAUGUUAUCUGCCAGGAAUGACUAAACUUGCUUUUUUUACACGUGCAUGAUAAAGUGACCCUACUACAUCUGAUGGUAAGUGGAGUGGGGUUGAAUAGAAUGUCGACUGACGAGAGAUGAUUACCCCUCGGCAGUCGACACAAUUAUGCCGGCUUGUUGGAACCAGAUAUACCCAGGCUGAUCCCGGAACGCAACACUUACCUGGGCCACUGUGGCGCGUUUUAACAUCUUGUGUAUGGUGGUCGCUAUCCGGCCAGAUAUAAAAUAUAUUCUACAACCAGCAUUUGUUGUUUAUGUGUUGAAUGCACUCUUUUGUUUACAAUUUAUUUAAGAGCUUGACUAUUGUAUUUACCUGUCUAUAUUAUAUUCCUCGAUUAGCGUUUACUCAGACAUGAAAUAGGCCCUAUAGUUUCAUUACCAUUAUAAAUAAUUGUUUUAAUUAUUUGCCCAUAAUUUAUAAGAACAUUUAUUGUAUACGGAACUUACUACACUUUUAUAAAACAAUGUUUACUUGGCAUGACGCCAAAAUAACUGCAGGCAACAAGUGGGCAAUCAAAUAACAUGAAAUGUUAAACAUAAUUGCCAUAAAAACCUGUAAAUUGUGUUCGAAAUUUCCUACUACAUUUAUAUUUGUA
rnacentral:lncRNA from 1 species